rnacentral:lncRNA from 1 species
UCUAAUAUCUAGAAUAAUAAUAUAAAUAUAAUAUCAUAUCUAGUGUAAUAAUAUAAUAUAUUAUUGUAAUAAUAAUUAUAGUAACAUUAUUACUGUAAUAACCUGUUUGAAUAUUAUAAUAAUAAUUAAGAAUUAUGAUGAAUACUAUAAAAUGUAAUUAAAUAAUAUAUAACAUAUUAUGAUAUAAUAAUAUCAUUAAUAUAAAAAUUUAAUAACUUAGCUAGUCAAAUCACCCACCCAAUAAUCCAGCUAAGCAAGUCUCAGUUAUUAGUUAAGUACCUAGACAUUCUUAUAUUAUAGAAUGCAAAAUAUUAUCAAUUUCUAAGUAUAAUUGUGAACUCAUAUAUUUUCUAUAACAGACACGCACAACAUGCACACAUCACAACAUGCAACAUUACUGCCAUUUUCUAUGCAUAAUCCAGAUCAUAUAUUUUCUAUAAUGCAUAUAUCGGAAGUGUACAUUCAUAUAUAAGAAUUAAACGUUCACAUAAGUAUGCAAAGAAAAUUUUUACCUCCACCCACCUAUGACAAAACCCAAGCACCCCUAACAUAUACAAUCAAUUUGACAUUAAUUUGUAACAUAAUUAAGGAAUCUAAUUACUCCCACCCACCUAUGAUCAACUACCUGUUGAGCAUUUAAAUCGAUCAUUUAAUUUAUUAUUUUUUUUUCAAAAUUCUGAUUUCAAGCAUUGGAAUUUGGAAUACAUAGCAUGAUCGAUGUACCAAGCACCAUAUAAGUCCUGAAUCAUCAAAUGAAUGGUAGUACUCUCAUAUGCAUGUCAGAAGAAUGCGCAUUGCCGACAUCAAUCACCGUCCAUGUGAAUAGAUGCCAUAUCCUUAAAUGGACCUGCAUAUAUACGUUCCAUAGCUACAACCAAACCCCACCCCCCACCUUAUGCUUCAACAACUGAAGGCAUAUAUAUAGAUCCUCCCUCUGAACACUGCUAAUGAAAACUAGCUUUGUGGCAAUCUGAUGUACUACUAAAUGUCUUGAAAUCAUGAAGAGUUCCAGCCUUAUAUUAUGAUACCCUUCCUAUUGUCCUUUUACCUGUCCAUAACUCCAUAUCACUUGGACCCGUGAACCAAAAAGACCGCACCAGCAUGGGUGGUGGGUGAGAGACAUCAGCUUGGAAUUUCAGAAUCGACCAUGUGAAGUAUGGGAGGAAGAAUCUGUUUCUUAAAAAGCUAAGCUUAGAGUUAUUAAAUAAAGGAGAGGGAGCCCAAUCACCAUGACAGCCCAUUGGUGUAGCUACACAAGCAUUUCCUCAAAAAAAAGGGGAAAAAAAAUUCACAAGCAUCAUCCCUAACAUCAUCCAAUUCAUCCGUGACCUUCAGAAACAGACACAAGCAUUUUAUGCAGCACCUCUAGCAUCCGUGAGAAAGACUACACCCAUAUCUGUGCCUAUAUAAAUAAUAGUUCAUCUCCCUCUCAACUUUAAUUUUUUGAAAAAAGGUGGUGCAUGAAGAUAGUACUGAAAAAUAGUACUUCUUUCCUAAACAAAAAAAAAGGGUAGUGUUUAUGAGAAUAAGAAGCUUUGUGAUCCCAGUGUGUGCCCCUGGACAAGCUUUGAUUGAAUUAAAGUUAGAAGAUAUCCGCACAUCACACUUUGCUUGUAAAAUUCAUUGUAUGUGGCUGCAUCAGUUUCAUUGUUAUCAUGUCUACUACUUUAAUGAGAGAAGUCUAUAUGAUUAUAUUUUUUUCAUUUAUAGCUUAAUUUUCUCUCAUGAUUAACUCUUAGAGUUGAAUUGCCUUUCCCCCCCCCUCUCUCUCUCUCUCUCUCUCUCUCUCUCUC